AGGUGGGUAGCUCAACUGGUAGAGCAGCGGUCUCCAAAACCGCAGGGUGUAGGUUCGAUCCCUAUCUCACCUG
rnacentral:tRNA from 1 species